ACCGCGAGGUGGAGCGAAUCUCCAAAAAUUAGUCCCAGUUCAGAUUGCAGGCUGAAACUCGCCUGCAUGAAGUCGGAAUUGCUAGUAAUCGCAGAUCAGCAUGCUGCGGUGAAUACGUUCCCGGGCCUUGUACACACCGCCCGUCACACCAUGGGAGUCGGUAACACCCGAAGCCUGUAGUCUAACCGCAAGGAGGACGCAGUCGAAGGUGGGAUUGAUGACUGGGGUGAAGUCGUAACAAGGUACC
rnacentral:rRNA from 1 species